GUGGGGAAUCUUGCGCAAUGGGCGAAAGCCUGACGCAGCCAUGCCGCGUGAAUGAUGAAGGUCUUAGGAUUGUAAAAUUCUUUCACCGGGGACGAUAAUGACGGUACCCGGAGAAGAAGCUCCGGCUAACUUCGUGCAGCAGCCGCGGUAAUACGAAGGGGGCUAGCGUUGCUCGGAAUUACUGGGCGUAAAGGGCGCGUAGGCGGACAGCUUAGUCAGAGGUGAAAGCCCAGGGCUCAACCUUGGAAUUGCCUUUGAUACUGGCUGUCUUGAGUUUGGGAGAGGUGAGUGGAACUCCGAGUGUAGAGGUGAAAUUCGUAGAUAUUCGGAAGAACACCAGUGGCGAAGGCGACUCACUGGCCCAAUACUGACGCUGAGGCGCGAAAGCGUGGGGAGCAAACAGGAUUAGAUACCCCAGUAGUCC
rnacentral:rRNA from 1 species